rnacentral:lncRNA from 1 species
AGUAAACUGUCUCCAGUGGGGGAGGGAAUGGGGAAGAGGGGAUUAGAAAAGGAAGUUUCAAUUCAAAGCAUGUGCAAACCUCAUCUCCCAGGGCAUACCAAGCAGCAUCAUUAAUAUCUGACCUGUCACUACCAUCUGGAGUGCCAGCUCAUUUCAGACCAAUGAGGGAAAAAGCCUUUGCAGGCAGUUUUCUAAGUGGCACUGGGAAAGGAGUGAAUUGGCUGCUUCAUUAAUAAAGCAGGAUAGAAUGUGGGCACCAGUGCCAGCCAGACAGUCUGCUGCUGCCUGGAGAAUUUGGCUGCAGCAUUGUUUCCAGACUCUCGGCAAAAAAAGUCAAGACCGGAUAUAUGGGGAGAGGAAGGAAGGGAGGAAAUUGGCUGGUUGGUCGGAAGGAACCGGAUGCGACGGCUUCCGGGCCUCCAGGAUGGGAAAAAAAGGUUAAUGAUUCAUCCACACCAUUCAUUCAUGCAUGCAUUCAUUUCAUGAUACUUAUUAAGCAUCUACCACGUGCCACAUUUUCUUCUAGAUGCUGAAGAUACAGGAACCAACAAAUAUUCCUGCCCUUAUGGAGCUUAUAUUCUAAUGAGAGGGACACAGACUGUAAACAUACAAAUAAUUAAAAUACUAUAUCAGAUGGAGAGAAGUAAUUUGGUCAAAAGGUAGCAGGGAAGGAAGAACAGAGCUUGCGCGGGGUGGGUGGAUGGGGGUCCUGAUUUUAAACAGUAAUCACAGAAGGCCUCAUGAAGUGACAUUUGAGUAAAGAUUUUGUAAAGAUACCGUGCUGGUCACUGUUCUAAGCACUUUACAAUUAUUUAUGUCAUGAAUGCUCCCAACAACCCCAAGAAACAUGGCUAUGAUUAUUCUGGUUUUACAAAGAGACUGAGGUUCAGAGAUGCAGUGACUUCAGAGAUCACACAGCUAGAAAGUGGGAGAAUUGGGAUUUGAAUACAGACUUGUCUGAACUUCAGCGGCUGCACGCUUUCAUAUCGGUGCAGACGCUGUCCACAAACCGGGUUUGGGAAAGGGCAAGUUACGGGUGCAAAUGGAGCCUUGCAGGUGCCCACGAAUCGAAUAUGGUGCCACCACCCGUGGGCAAGUGUGGGCGGACUUGAUGGGGGACGGGUGGCUAGCGAUUUUCACAGCGCUGAAUCAGGGCUCUGCGUCUGUGGCCGGGGAGUUCCGUGGCCCAGCUGCAGGCGAGAUGGGGAAACUGAAGCCCUAGAGGAAAAGAAGACUAAAUGUAUUACCAUCUGACCCACUUCCUGGCCAGCCUGUUCACCUGUCUGCUGUUCUUCAUUGAUGUGCAAUCUAAGACUCAGAGAAGCUGGAGAAUUUUCCUAACGUCACACAGCAAAGGAAUGGAAGACUCAGGACAAGAAUACACGAUCCUCUCCUUCCAACAUGUCACCCAGCAGAACAAGAGAAGGAAUCACAAUUGGUCCAUGACAGUCACGGUCAUCUCAUUCCUCUUGCCAGUGGCAGGUGUAUGUGUGAGUUUGCAGCUCAAUCCUGGCCAAGGGGAUCCAAGGACUGCUGAAGAGGCAUGUCUGCACAUGUCACCUAGAACAUCUCCAGCCAUCAUGUGAUCUCUGGGGGAGGCAUUCCCAACUCUCUGAGAGAAGCAGACCAGAAAGAUGGAAAGAAAGCACCUGGCUCCAGGAUGAUGACAUUGAGCCGAUGAAUUAACCACCUUUGUGCUGCUCUAACCUUCAGAGUUCACCUUAACAUGAGAAAAUAAAACCCUUAUUGCUUA